CGACUCUGACAUCAGGGUCCUGUUUUAUCUGGACGACCUGCUGCUGCUGGCGCCGCCCAGACGCCCAGCUAGUUGCACACCUGUCUUACCUGGGCUUCACGGUGAACUGGAAGAAGAGUGCUCCUCUUCCCUCCCAGAGACUCACCUAUCUUGGCGUGGUGCUGGACUCUCCUCUCUCCGGAGAGCGCGGCUCUCUCAGGAGAAUGUGGAUGAUCUGAUGGAGCUGCUCGACUGUGUUGUCCCUCGAGCGGUGGUGCCAGCUCUGUCGGCCUCAUGUCGGCGGCUCACGUGGUGGUCCCCCUGGGCCUCCUCCACAUGAGGAGGCCGCAGCGGUCUCGGUCGGGGUUCCCCUGGGCAGGUUCAUGUCUUCACGGACGCCUCCCUCAUGGGCUGGGGCAGGACCUGCCUUUCUCAGGUGGAGGAGGAGCCUAAUUUGCGGGAUAUAAAUUGUGGUGCUUGCUAGUUUUGGAGUCUGCCUUCUCUUCGAAUCAUAACAUGGAUGAAUAAUCAUCUCUAAUUCAUUGUACAAGGAUGUACAAUGGUACCUGUUGUUAUUCUCAGAUGGACCAACAUGACCCAAUGAAAAGUUGGAUUAAUCACCAUGUAUACAAGAACCUCAUGAAGAGAGGUGUGUUUUUAAGUGUUUCUUGAGCACUUUUUUUUUGUGGAAUUGAAAAAGGAGCCAAACACAAGCCAUAUUGGGACUAGAAGUAAUUUUACAUUGAGGUGUUUCUACAUUUACUUGUAAUUUUUUGUCGAGUGUGUUGGUAAUACUGAGGUGCGUCCUUGUGUGAUCAGCUGCAGUUAUGAAACUACUGACGGAGUUAUAUGAUUCCAGGUUGCCUUUGAGAGGACUGCUUCUGGUGGAGGCCUCACAGGAAUGUGGCAUCAUCUGACUCGACCAUGGAUACCCACUGAGGAUGAGAUCCCAAUGGAGGUAGACUAGCAGGCGCAAGAAGACCACUAUUCUGGGUCAAGAGGAUCUUAAUGAAGACCCGGAGACCUGAAGAAUCUUAAUAAAUAAACAUGUUGAAAACCA